CGGGGCAUAGCGCAGCCUGGUAGCGCGGCUGCUUUGGGAGCAGUAGGUCGGGGGUUCGAAUCCCUCUGCCCCGACCA
rnacentral:tRNA from 1 species